GAGGUAGCACCUGUCUCUCCAUGACACUUUGAACCUUCGGGGAUUUAUUUCAUUGUCAUUAAAUGUACUUAUGGCUCCUUUGAAAGCUUUAGCUCCGCGACUUAAACUACUCGCUUACUAAAUAUCUCUUUUGCUACUAUCAACCUGCUAUCUUCAAGAACGAACCUCUUACUGCUGCUUUACUUUACAAACUUUAUCGAGCCUUCUAAAAGGCCAAUGACAGCCUCUCUAUCAAAACUAAAAACGUGGAGCUGUUAGCAGUAGCAAAAAUGCGAAAGUCAAAUGAGUUUUCAUGAGAAAUUUGAAGCUCAUAACAUAGCGACUGGAACCGAGUCUGGUUCCAAAGUAAAUUCUCUACUUAUGUUGAUUGAGAAUAUGGCUGGCGUUUAAAAAAUUGAAUGAAAAAUGACCCCAGCAUUGGCGAAAAAAUAUAGCGAAUGCUGAUUAGAAGACCGAAAUAUUUUGCUGGGUUUUUGCCUGCUGAGACACAGGCGUGCGAGUAACUUGAAGCUGUACACAAACUCAU